UCCCUGGUGGCCUAAUGGUUGAGGAUUCAGCAUUGUCACUGCUGUGGUUCAGGUUCGAUUCCUGACCCUGGGAA
rnacentral:tRNA from 1 species